AUUGAACGCUGGCGGCAGGCUUAACACACGCAAGUCGAGCGGAGUGAUGGUGCUUGCACUAUCACUUAGCGGCGGACGGGUGAGUAAUGCUAGGAAUCUGCCUAUUAGUGGGGGACAACAUCUCGAAAGGGAUGCUAAUACCGCAUACGUCCUACGGGAGAAAGCAGGGGAUCACUUGUGACCUUGCGCUAAUAGAUGAGCCUAAGUCGGGUUAGCUAGUUGGUGGGGUAAAGGCCUACCAAGGCGACGAUCUGUAGCGGGUCUGAGAGGAUGAUCCGCCACACUGGAGCUGAGACACGGCCCAGACUCCUACGGGAGGCAGCAGUGGGGAAUAUUGGACAAUGGGGGGAACCCUGAUCCAGCCAUGCCGCGUGUGUGAAGAAGGCCUUAUGGUUGUAAAGCACUUUAAGCGAGGAGGAGGCUCUUUUGGUUAAUACCCAAGAUGAGUGGACGUUACUCGCAGAAUAAGCACCGGCUAACUCUGUGCCAGCCGCCGCCGUAAAAC
rnacentral:rRNA from 1 species